AGUGAACGCUGGCGGCGUGCCUAAUACAUGCAAGUCGAACGGAGUGGCGCACGGGUGAGUAAUGUAUAGCUAAUCUGCCCUACACUAGAGGACAACAGAUGGAAACGACUGCUAAUACUCUAUAGUGUAGGAUGAGGCUAUAUUGUAUCAGCUAGUUGGUGAGGUAAUGGCUCACUAAGGGUAUGAUGCAUCACUGGUCUGAGGGGAUGAGCAGUCAACUUGGACCUGAGACACGGUCCAGACUCCUACGGGAGGCAGCAGUAGGGAAUAUUGCUCAUUGGGGGUAACCCUGAAGCAGCAUCGCCGCGUAGAGGAUGACACUUUUCGGAGCGUAAACUCCUUUUGAUAGGCAAGCGGUACCUACCGAAGAAGCACCGGCUAACUCCGUGCCAGCAGCCGCGGUAAUAC
rnacentral:rRNA from 1 species